UAGGAGUCCUAUUUAGAAAGUCUCAUGUUUCUGUCCUUCUCGCCCUCCGUAGCUGGUCACCUGAACCCGGCCGUGGCCUUUGCCCUCUGCCUCCUGGGGAGGGAGCCAUGGAGGAAGAUCCCGGUCUACUUCCUCUUCCAGACGUUGGGGGAGGCGGUGUAUUCACAGUUAAGGGCUACUGUUUCUUGGUGCCCUUGUUCGCCCCGUUCCUAGGGGCAGUGCAGGGGGUGGUGGUGUACCAGCUGAUAGUGGGCUACAACAUGGAAGGAGAGGAACGCAUCCAGAGAUUACGAGAGUAGGAGGGAUGGGGAGCAGAGAGAGAGAGGCGAUCGCUACCCGAGAUCGCCAGGAACGCACCCUGUUACCACUUGGAGUGGAGUAGAAUUUACGUUUAACGACCCGUGGUUUGCUGGACUGCCGGGCGAUCGCACCAGAGAUCGCCAGGAACGCACCCCGGGCCCGAGUUGGAGUGGAGUUAUAAUUUAUGUUCAAAGACUUGUGUUGUGUUGAACUGCUGGGGACUGAAAUAAACAGUCUGGAUUACAAACACAAACCCGGUGUCCAAGCGCUCAGUGACUCUUGUUACACCCACUCGAGGUAACGGCACACUGGAUUGCAAUUAAUAAAGAAAUGAAGAGUAGACGUGUGGAGGAGUGUUCUCCAGGUCUGAUGACUCGUUUUGAGGUCACAGCCCUUUCACCUUUUCUCUGUGCAUAGGUCAGUGUAUGAACGCAGCAUAUUUCAAUAAGCCGUCCUUACAAUCCUUCUCUUUACUUCCUGUUCUAUUCAACCAAACCUUAACAUUUUCCAACCUCAUUUGUUCGGCUUUGGCCGCUAGCCGGAUCCUUUAUGUCCACAUUUCCCUUUUACUUUUACCUCCUGAGAGGAACGGAUAAUAAAUCUAAGACAAUAUCGGAGCAGCUUACCCCAAAGCUACUUCUUUGAAAGUGCUACUGAAACCUACACAGGUAAGGUACUUAAGUUAGGUUUCUGCAUACACAUCGAGUUUGCUAUAAGCCCCCUUGAGAUGGGGAUGGGGGUCGUACUGUGACACUGCUCCAUACCAACUAGCGCUGGCUUUACCCAGGAGGGCUGGCGGGCGGUGAGGUCGGUCCGUGCUGAGGUCAGUCCGCGCUGAGGUGAGUCCGUUCCGAGGUGAGUGCGCCGAGGUCAGUCCGUAAUGAGACGAUGUGGCUCCACAGGGCCCUUCUAUUUCAUUCAACUAAUUAAUGGACAGACCGAUGUCAAACUCGUCUCCCUCCCAUCAACGUCUUCUUACAGAGGUUGACCACAUUUGCACAGUCGGCUAGAAAACCCCAGAAGCAUGCUGAAAUAUUAUGGUAUGAAUGUAAUAUUUCCAUCUGCUGGAAUGUAAAUCAACGUGCUUUAUCUAAAUGAUUGCCACGCCCUAGCUCUUCCUAUUAACUGCAGAUUCAGGUGACAUAGGUACAACUACAUAAAACAUUUAAAUAUAAAGAUGACGAAAAACACAUUGACAC